CUUCUAGGAACAGAACUCCAGACCUCUAGAAGAGCAGCAGGUGCUCUUAACUGUGAGACCAUCUCUCUAGUCCCAUAGUGGUGCGAUGAAGGUGGACUUAACUUUUAAAGGCAAAGAGACAAACCACUGCCAGGAUAAAUGAGAAGACGCAGAGGGGGCAACUGGCACCACACAGGAGAGGAAAUGCUUUCUGGCUGGUUCCUAAUUUUCAUAUCCGGGUUAUCGUCAGAAAUCAUUUUCAGAGGAAGCUGAAAAAUGAUGGACAAGGAAAGUCGAGAAAGAGGAAGACAUUAACUGAGCGUCCUGUCCACACAGCUGCCAGGAAGGGUUUCAUCAUCAUCCUGGCACACAGGAGUAAGUUCCCAAGUCCUAUCAGGAGCCAUGUGAGUGGAUAUCUUCAAAGAGCACAUUGGAUACAACCUGGUAUCUCAGUGUCAGGACUAUAAAAGUAUGACAAUUUUUUCAAAGCAAUGAUUUGUAAUUACUAGAAUAUUGUCUUACAGUGACACAUGUAAGCAUGCUUUAAAAUGCAUACAAGUUUCAAUAAAGACCAAAGCUUUGCUAACACAAUAGAAGAAGAAGUCUUACAGUCUGCCUCCACUGCCUUUUGUGUGUACCAUGAGCAAGUCUUUCCCUUUUUGGAAAAUAUGCUCAACAUAACUACAUUUGCAUCAUUUAAGAAUGUAUACACUAAAUGUAUAUAAUGAUUAUUUUUAGUGGAAAAUAUAUAAUUAAUUCUGUUUCCUUACAUUUAUUUAUAAAGGUAAAGGCAUAAUUUUCAAGAUAGAGACUUUUGAAUACCGAAUAUAACUUACAUUAGAAAAUGACAGAAUCAGGUUUUAUUAUUCUUUCCAUAGACUUCUAUAUAGUUAAAAAGACAUUUGUCUUCGUUUGGAUACUUGGUUUUCUUUUUUGACACCGUCUCAUGCAGACCAGGCUGCAUUCUAGCAUACAAGACAGCCAAGAAUGACUUUAAAAUUCUGAUCUAUCUACUCUUCCACCUCCAGUGCCCCCUCUCACCCAAUUUAUGCAGUGCUGAGGACAAAAUCCAGGGUUUGUGUAUGUCAGGAAGUUACUCUGUCAACUCAGCUACAGACACAAUUUAUUUGUUUGUUUGUUUGUUUAUUAAUUUAUUUAAAUUUACAUCCCAAUGACAGCCCCCCUUUCUUCCCAGUUCCAUCCUUACAAAUCCCUCCCACCAUCACCCAUCCCAUUCUCAGAAAAGAAGAGCCCUCCUUGGUACCACCCCUCUCUGGGGCAUCUAGGCCCAGCAUGACUAGGCAUAUCAUCUUCCACUGAGGCUAAACUGAGCAGUCCAGGUAGGGGAAGAGAAUCGAAUGGCAGGGAACAGAGACUGAGACAGCCCCCAUAAAUUUGAUUUAAAAUAUCAAAUUAAAUGGCAGACUAUAGGGACUCCUAUCUUAUAUCUGAAUUUUCCUUACAAGUCAUGUUCUAUUUUGAGAAAGCAUGUGUCAAUCUAGAGGGAAAUUUUCAGAAUACUGGCAAUCAACAGUAACAAGAUUCUGAGUAAACAUUUUACUAAUUAUUCUUCAAUAGUUCUCUGACAUGAAAGUUAAUAUGUCUUCCUGAAUUAUUAUAUAUUAAAUCAGUCAAGGGUUUUUUUUUACUAUGCCUAAGCAAAUUAAAAUGAGCAAUCAUUACACUUGGAGUCAUAAAAUGAAACUAGUAUCUAGUUAAUACACAACAUUGCAUAAAAUCUUUCUCAUACACACACAAGUACAUACCCACACACAUGUGGAAACUAAUACUUUGAUGUCUUCUGAGAAAUGUCUUUUUCAACACGUUGUAUUUUUUUUUUUUGAGAAUUUCAUACAAUUUAGUUUGGUCAUAUUCAUCUUCUCUAUGAACUACUCCCCAGUCCAUUACCCUUCACACUGUCCUAAUAAUGUGUCAAAAAACCCAAAAAACAAAAAACAAAAAAACAACCCUAAAACCUGUUGAGUGUAGUUGCUAUUACUCAUAUACUUCUGGAUGUUUGACCAUCUACUUACAGAAAACUGAGUACACAUCUCCUAGUAGCCAUCAUUUACCAAUAACCCCUCAGGUAGAGGUAGAAGUUUGUGCCUAAACUUACUUGAGUCUCCAUUCAGGAAUUUCAUCUAGUUUGGUUUUACACAGCUCUUCUGUAGUAUAUCUGUACUGUCAUGAAUUCAUUUGUGCAGCUGCCCUGCUGUAUCCUGCAAACACAAAUUUCUUGUCCUCAUCCACUGUUUCUGGAUCUUAUGAUACAUCUGCCCACUCCUACCCUAUCCACUGCCAUCCUGUUUUACUCAAGACAUAUCAUACUAAUUAAAAAAUGUAUUGUAAGUUGUUUGGGGUCCAUUUAUAUUGGUAUUAUGUUAGAGUAUAAACUCCACAAUAGCAAAGGUUUUAAGUGAUUUUUGCUCACAUGAAUUUAAGACUGUGCUUGACAUAUAUAGAUAUUUAUAAAAUACUUGUAAAUUCAUGCUAAACAACUGAUUCUCACAAUAUGUCUCGUACAAAGAAACAAAUUCAGCUAUAAUGUUUAUAUUUCUUCUCAUAUCUUAUAUUCUCACAAUAAGCAUUUUAAAAUUUCAGAUUUGAUUCAUUUUGUUUUCUCCAGACAAUCUUUUUUUUUAAGCAAGAACUUCACAUACAUUCAUUCAUGGCAGUGUUGUGUUUUUAUUUUGUUUGUUGUUAGGCUGUAGUAAGGUACUGCUAGUCUAUGCGCUUAAGAAUCCAAUGUUGGUAUUAUUGGUAGCAUUGGAAAUUGAAAUUAAUUAUAUGUAAACAUUAAAUUUUGAAUAUUGGUAUUUAAAUGCCAAAGUCAUAUUAGCUCCAAAAUCAUCUAAUAAAAGUUUUAUAAU
rnacentral:lncRNA from 1 species